rnacentral:rRNA from 1 species
UGGGGAAUAUUGGACAAUGGGCGAAAGCCUGAUCCAGCCAUGCCGCGUGUGUGAAGAAGGUCUUCGGAUUGUAAAGCACUUUAAGUUGGGAGGAAGGGCAGUAAGCGAAUACCUUGCUGUUUUGACGUUACCGACAGAAUAAGCACCGGCUAACUCUGUGCCAGCAGCCGCGGUAAUACAGAGGGUGCAAGCGUUAAUCGGAAUUACUGGGCGUAAAGCGCGCGUAGGUGGUUCGUUAAGUUGAAUGUGAAAGCCCCGGGCUCAACCUCGCAACUGCAUCCAAAACUGGCGAGCUAGAGUAGGGCAGAGGGUGGUGGAAUUUCCUGUGUAGCGGUGAAAUGCGUAGAUGUAGGAAGGAACACCAGUGGUGAAGGCGACCACCUGGGCUCAUACUGACACUGAGGUGCGAAAGAGUGGGGAGCAAACAGG